CAGUCGCCGCGGGAAUACAGAGGGUGCGAGCGUUAAUCGGAUUUACUGGGCGUAAAGCGUGCGUAGGCGGUUUGUUAAGUCUGCUGUGAAAUCCCCGGGCUCAACCUGGGAAUGGCAGUGGAUACUGGCAAGCUAGAGUGUGUCAGAGGAUGGUGGAAUUCCCGGUGUAGCGGUGAAAUGCGUAGAGAUCGGGAGGAACAUCAGUGGCGAAGGCGGCCAUCUGGGACAACACUGACGCUGAGGCACGAAAGCGUGGGGAGCAAACAGGAUUAGAUACCCCAGUAGUCCCUGUCUCUUAUAC
rnacentral:rRNA from 1 species